CAGCAGCCGCGGUAAUACAGAGGGUGCGAGCGUUAAUCGGAUUUACUGGGCGUAAAGCGUGCGUAGGCGGCUUCUUAAGUCGGAUGUGAAAUCCCUGAGCUUAACUUAGGAAUUGCAUUCGAUACUGGGAAGCUAGAGUAUGGGAGAGGAUGGUAGAAUUCCAGGUGUAGCGGUGAAAUGCGUAGAGAUCUGGAGGAAUACCGAUGGCGAAGGCAGCCAUCUGGCCUAAUACUGACGCUGAGGUACGAAAGCAUGGGGAGCAAACAGGAUUAGAUACCCCGGUAGUCCCUGUCUUUAUACC
rnacentral:rRNA from 1 species